rnacentral:rRNA from 1 species
GUAGGGUGCAAGCGUUAAUCGGAAUUACUGGGCGUAAAGCGUACGCAGGCGGCUUUGCAAGACAGGUGUGAAAUCCCCGGGCCUAACCUGGGAACUGCAUUUGUGACUGCAUGGCUAGAGUCUGUCAGAGGGGGGUGGAAUUCCACGUGUAGCAGUGAAAUGCGUAGAGAUGUGGAAGAACACCGNUGGCGAAGGCNGCNUCCUGGGNCNAUACUGACGCUCAGGNGCGAANGCGUGGGGAGCAAACAGGAUUAGAUACCCUGGUAGUCCACGCAGUAAACGGUGAACACUAGGUGUAGCGGGUAUUGACCCCUGCUGUGCCGAAGCUAACGCAUUAAGUGUUCCGCCUGGGAAGUACGGCCGCAAGGUUA